rnacentral:piRNA from 1 species
AUCUGUAAAAUGGGGAUAGUAUUGGGUA